rnacentral:rRNA from 1 species
GACGAAGGUGGCGAGCGUUGUUCGGAAUCACUGGGCAUAAAGCGCACGUAGGCGGCGACGUAAGUUGGGUGUGAAAUCCCUCGGCCCAACCGAGGAACUGCGCCCAGUACUGCGUUGCUUGAGGAUCCAAGGGGUGCAUGGAAUUCCCGGUGGAGCGGUGAAAUGCGUUGAUAUCGGGAGGAACUCCGGCGGCGAAAGCGGUGCACUGGUGGAUUUCUGGACGCUGAGGCGCGAAAGCGGUGGGGAGCAAACAGGG